rnacentral:piRNA from 1 species
UUACAUGUUCACUGCUGUUUGGUGGUGUCU